GCAUCUGGUAUCUGUGAUUAAAUUAUCUUUAAGUGCGCUUGAGCCAGAGGCAUCUUGGGAUGGGUGACCACCUGGGAAGUCCUGGUUACCGGGUGCA
rnacentral:rRNA from 1 species